AUUGAACGCUGGCGGCAUGCUUUACACAUGUAAGUCGAACGGUAACAGGGUGCUUGCACCGCUGACGAGUGGCGAACGGGUGAGUAAUGCGUCGGAACGUGCCGAGUAGUGGGGGAUAACGCAGCGAAAGUUGUGCUAAUACCGCAUACGUACUGAGGUAGAAAGUGGGGGACCUUCGGGCCUCACGCUAUUCGAGCGGCCGACGUCUGAUUAGCUAGUAGGUGAGGUAAAGGCUCACCUAGGCGACGAUCAGUAGCGGGUCUGAGAGGAUGGUCCGCCACACUGGGACUGAGACACGGCCCAGACUCCUACGGGAGGCAGCAGUGGGGAAUUUUGGACAAUGGGCGAAAGCCUGAUCCAGCCAUGCCGCGUGUCUGAAGAAGGCCUUCGGGUUGUAAAGGACUUUUGUCAGGGAGGAAAUCCCUAGUGCUAAUAACACUGGGGGAUGACAGUACCUGAAGAAUAAGCACCGGCUAACUACGUGCCAGCAGCCGCCGUAA
rnacentral:rRNA from 1 species